rnacentral:piRNA from 1 species
UGAACAGUUUCGGCGAUAUAACGUCACCC